GAUGAAGAACGCAGCGAAAUGCGAUAAGUAAUGCGAAUUGCAGAAUCCGUGAGUCAUCGAAUCUUUGAACGCACAUUGCGCCCCUUGGUUAUUCCGAAGGGCAUGCCUGUUCGAGCGUCAUUACGCCCCUCAAGUCCCCUGUGGACUUGGUGUUGGGGAUCGGCGAGGCUGGUUUUCCAGCACAGCCGUCCCUUAAAUUAAUUGGCGGUCUCGCCGUGGCCCUCCUCUGCGCAGUAGUAAAACACUCGCAACAGGAGCCCGGCGCGGUCCACUGCCGUAAAACCCCCCAACUUUUUAUAGUUGACCUCGAAUCAGGUAGGACUACCCGCUGAACUUAAGCAUAUCAAUAAGCGGAGGA
rnacentral:misc_RNA from 1 species